UACGUAGGGUGCAAGCGUUGUCCGGAAUUAUUGGGCGUAAAGAGCUCGUAGGCGGUCUGUUGCGUCGGCUGUGAAAACCCGAGGCUUAACCUCGGGCCUGCAGCCGAUACGGGCAGGCUAGAGUUCGGCAGGGGAGACUGGAAUUCCUGGUGUAGCGGUGAAAUGCGCAGAUAUCAGGAGGAACACCGGUGGCGAAGGCGGGUCUCUGGGCCGAUACUGACGCUGAGGAGCGAAAGCGUGGGGAGCGAACAGG
rnacentral:rRNA from 1 species